rnacentral:rRNA from 1 species
ACCGAAAGGGGCGGUAAUACCUGAUAACAUUGCCGGCUGCAGGGCUGGCAAUCAAAGAUUUAUCGGCAUCGGAGCGGCCUAUUCCCUAUCAGUUAGUUGGUGAGGUAACGGCUCACCAAGGCAACGACGGGUAGCGGGACUGAGAGGUUGGUCCGCCAUAUCGGGACUGAGACACUGCCCGGACCUCCACGGAGGGCUGCAGUAACGAAUCUUGGGCAAUGAUCGAAAGAUUGACCCAGCGACGCCGCGUGCAGGAAGAAGCCCCUCGGGGUGUAAACUGCUGUCAAGAGCAAGUAAGCGCAAGCAGAACUACUCUAAAGGAAGUCACGGCUAACUUCGUGCCAGCAGCCGCGGUAAUACGAAGGUGGCGAGCGUUGUUCGGAAUCACUGGGCUUAAAGCGUACGCAGGCGGUUUUCUAAGCGUUCUCUGAAAUCCCCCGGCUCAACCGGGGAAUUGGGGGGCGAACUGGAAAACUUGAGGCAUACAGGGGCGGGUGGAACUCUUCGUGGAGCGGUGGAAUGCGUAGAUAUGAAGAGGAACGCCAGAGGUGAAAACGGCCCGCUGGGUAUGACCUGACGCUGAGGUACGAAAGCAUGGGUAGCGAACGGGAUUAGAUACCCCGGUAGUCCAUGCCGUAAACGAUGUGCACUGGUUCGCAGUAAUUCUGACAUUAUUGCGGGCGUAGCAAAAGUGUUAAGUGCACCGCCUGGGGAGUACGGUCGCAAGGCUAAAACUCAAAGGAAUUGACGGGGGCUCACACAAGCGGUGGAGCAUGUGGAUUAAUUCGAAGCAACGCG